rnacentral:rRNA from 1 species
AUCAUGGCUCAGAUUGAACGCUGGCGGCAGGCCUAACACAUGCAAGUCGGGCGGUAACAGGGAGAAGCUUGCUUCUCUGCUGACGAGCGGCGGACGGGUGAGUAAUGUAUGGGGAUCUGCCUGAUGGCGGGGGAUAACUACUGGAAACGGUAGCUAAUACCGCAUAAUGUCUUCGGACCAAAGCGGGGGACCUUCGGGCCUCGCGCCAUCAGAUGAACCCAUAUGGGAUUAGCUUGUAGGUGAGGUAAUGGCUCACCUAGGCGACGAUCCCUAGCUGGUCUGAGAGGAUGAUCAGCCACACUGGGACUGAGACACGGCCCAGACUCCUACGGGAGGCAGCAGUGGGGAAUAUUGCACAAUGGGCGCAAGCCUGAUGCAGCCAUGCCGCG